rnacentral:rRNA from 1 species
UACGUAGGGGGCGAGCGUUGUCCGGAAUCAUUGGGCGUAAAGCGCAUGUAGGCGGCCCAGUAAGUCGGAUGUGAAAUCCCGAGGCUCAACCUCGGAACUGCAUACGAUACUGCUGGGCUUGAGGAAGGUAGAGGAGAGUGGAAUUCCCGGUGUAGCGGUGGAAUGCGCAGAUAUCGGGAGGAACACCAGCGGCGAAAGCGGCUCUCUGGGCCUUAUCUGACGCUGAGAUGCGAAAGCGUGGGUAGCGAACAGG